AAUGAACUCCACCAGCCCGCCAGAUUAUUACAAGCGAAAGCUUAAAACUCAAAGGACUUGACGGUGUCCCAUAUUCAGCCUAGAGGAGCCUGUCCCAUAAUCGAUGACCCACGAUAUACCUCACCAUUUUUUGCCAAACAGCCUAUAUACCGCCGUCACAAGUUCACCUUUUGAAGGUAAAAAAGUGAACAAAAUAGCCCAAUGCUAGUAUGUCAGGUCAAGGUGUAGCUAAUAAACUGGUCUGAGAUGGGCUACAUUUCCUUAGUAAAGGAAAUACGAAUGGUCUUAUGAAACCUCACCAGAAGGAGGAUUUAGUAGUAAAGCGGGAUUAGCAAGCCUGCUUGAAUACACUGCCCUGGGACGCGUACACACCGCCCGUCACC
rnacentral:rRNA from 1 species